GGAUGAGGGUGCGGGCGUGCGGCGCUGUUCACCGGAAUGCGUCGUGAGAACUGCCGCGCGCUGGCCGCGAAUCAAUCCAUGAGAAGGGAUGUGGAUACGGAUAUGGGCUUUUACUUCUGGACGAAAUUGCCCCUUGCUAAUGAUGGAGUAACUCGUAGAAGCAGCCAGCAGUUGUCGUGGUCGUGAGUGUCGUGCUGCCUGCAGUGCUGCACUGCAUCUGGAUCUCCAUGUUGCCAUCCAUGUCCUCCUCUCAUCCUGCUGCUGCUUUGCUGUUUUUUCCUGCUCCAUGUAUCUGUCUCUGUCCCUUUCUUCGUCUUGCCAUCCAUUUCAUGCCCUCGGUUUCGAUCUCAUCCUAAGUAAAUGGUGGCCCAUUGUUAGAGACCCACUUGUUUAAGCUCCAAUACAAAUCACGAGUAUAUAGGUGGGCUGGAAGGAACAACAACUAACAGGAGCAAGAUUUAGAAGAUUCUGAAUGAAUCAGUGAGUAAGAGGAUACAUUGGUUGGUAGGAAGAAGAAGAGAGGGAAGGAGAGAUCGACAAGGAGGCAAGCCCGCCUCCAGGUCGCCGUGCCGCCCUUUGGACAAUGAUCUGGUCUCUUGGGCUUGCUUGGACUUCUUGGAAAGUAGCUGAUUCAGCCCAUAUUGCAGCCCACAUGGCUCCUAACACCCAUGCCUUGCAUGAUCAAGAGUAAGAGUAAUGGUAGUAGUACAUUAUCUAAAAAAAAAAAGAGUAAUGGUAGUAGUAGCAAAUUAACUGUACCUAUCUCUGUCUGAGCAGAUCUAUCGAGCUGCCUUGCCUGGAAUUUUUUUUAGAAAUAAUAUUAUUUUAAUGGAAAAUUGCAAAAGUAGUAGCUGAUUA